GAUCGCGUGGUCCAGCGGCGAAGACGUCUGGGUGACAACCAGAAGUUCGAAGGUUCGAUUCCUUCCGCGAUCAC
rnacentral:tRNA from 1 species